rnacentral:tRNA from 1 species
GGGAGUAUGGCUGAGUGGUUUAAGCACGAAACUGUUAAUUUCGGUAACAGGGGUUCGAAUCCUCUUGCUCCCG